rnacentral:lncRNA from 1 species
GGUCAGGCUGCUGCCACAUCUCAGCUUCUUCCUUCCCUUCCCAUCCCUUCUCCUCCCUUCCCAUGCAGUCUUUCCUGUACAAGGCUCUGGGGACAGUGCUGGGAGCUUGUAAGGAAGUCCUCCACAUCCAAGAGAAGCUUCUGCAACACCUGGAGGAAGCAAACGCGGAGGAGCCCUCUGAGGCCCAGGGCAUGAUCUCUCUUCUCAGCCAUGCUGCUGAGAGCAACUUCCACACAGCCCUGGACACGCUCACCAUGUUUGCGUCCAGGCUGUGCAGAGGCCAAAAUGGGAGGAGUUCCAGACGCAAGAAGGUGAAGCGUUACGCAUUUCCAUCUUGGCCUGCCCUCUGCCUUAUUUUCACUUGGGAGCCCAGGUGCCUCGUGGGGCACCGGGGGCUGCUGAGCGAGUGUCUC